rnacentral:sRNA from 1 species
CAUAGUCUGGCAUAGGAGACAUGCUCCAGACACAGAAGAAGACAGUCUCAUGGACAAGCUGGGAUGCUGUGGAACUUUUACAUCACCACCAUGGUUUCGUGAAGACUUUCCUCCAUGGAUUCUGGCUCAUGGAAACCAGAGGCCCCUGAGGGGGACAGAAGAGCUCCUAUCAUUGGAAGAGCCGACCUCAGGGCCACUACAGAGAAAAUCCAGCAACACUUCUGGUUCCAGCGGGGGCUCCCUGCCUCCCCCCGCCACCCCACCUUUCCAGGGAAUGAGGGCCAGAUUUGCCUUCCCUGCAUUUGAUGUUUCUGCUGAAACCACCAUCAGAUGUACAAAGUGCCUUAUCCACCAUCAUGGUAUUCCACACGGCAUUGCUUCUGACCAAGGAACUCCUUUCACAGCCAGAAGUGCGACAUGGGACCCAUAACCAUGAAAACCAUUGACCUUCCUAAUGUCCACCAUCCUGAAGCAGAUGGCCUGACAGAAAGAUGGAAUGGCUUUUGAAGACACAGUCACAUCAUCAUUAAAUGGCAGCAGUAUGGAGGGCUGGGACAGGGUUCUCCCAAAGGCAGCAUAUGCUUUGAAACCAAUAUAUAGUACUGUUUCUCCUAUAGUCAUUGUCCAGAAGCAUGGAAAUGGGAACAGUUCCACUCAUUGUCACCCAAGUGACCUACUAGGAAAUGUUUUGCUUCCUGUUCCCUUCUCUUGACCUUGAGUUCUGCUGCCCUAGAAGUUUUGGUUCCAGAGUGCGAGCAUUCCUGCUGAGACCCAAGCAAGCAUCCAUUGAACGGGAAGCUCAGACUUUGCCCUGGCCACUUUGGGCUUCUGACACCCUUAAGCCAACGGGCUAAGAAAGGAAUGAUAAUGUUAGAAAGGGUGAUUAAUCCAUGCUACCAAGGGGAAACUGGAUUGCUCCUCCACGGUGGAGGUGAGAAAGAUUAUAUCCAGAGUACAAAAGAUCCUAUAGGGCAUCUCUUGGUGCUACAAUGUCCUGUGGCUAAAGUCCAUGGGAAACCUCAACAGCCUAGUCCAGGCAGGAUGACAAAGGACGCAGAGCCAUCAGGAACGAAGGGAUGGCUCACUCCUCCAGGAACAGAGCCAAGACUGACUGAGGGGCUUGCAGAGGGUGGAAGAAAUACAGAAUGGAUAGUAGAGGAAGGGAGUUACAGAUACCAUCUAAGGCCGCGUGACCACUUGCAGAAACGAGGAUUAUAAUUGACACGAGUGUGUGUUGUGUUUUGUUACGAGUUUGUUUGUUCAGGUGUUUGUGUUUCCUUUACCUAAUUUCUUUUUUUUUUUGUAAUAAAUAUUUUGUCAUCCUUUAAUCCCCAAAUUGGACAGUGAAAUUAAUUGAUACUGAUUGAAUAGACUGUAAGAUAUGUGCCACAUCACAGUAAGUAAGCAAUCUGAGAAGUUAUCGGUUUCCCAGUGCUUCCUGGGAAGACUGAGGCAUUCUGGGUAAUGUCUGCAUGGUCUUCUGCUAUGAGUGGAAAGGCUAAUUUAUUUC